UCCAGAGUAGGAGAUGAUAUCUCAGGCUUCUGAAUGGAUGAAUACCAUUGCCAAGAACCACCAUGAGUAUUUCUUACCAGAGGGUACUCGUCUCACUGGAACUGCCUCAAUGUCUACAAAGCUGAGUACUUGGCAUGAAGAAUCCUUACUACUCAAAUGUUCAUUAUUGGAAGAAUGGCAUGUGCUCCAAGGAUGCUGCCUGUAGAUACCUCCAUGGGGUCCAAAUGACAGGCUGUGAAAGUGAAGCUGGAUGCUGUGCAUUGGGUAGACUGUGACCAGAGCUUGGAGUGGAAGGAGACAAGGGAGUUUGUUUACUACACCUAUCAUUCCUCUCGUUCUCUUGACCCAUUUCUUAACUUCCCCAUAACAUUACCUACUGUCCAAAUUAUGAAACCAACCCUCUUAUGCAUAUUUGUGAUUUCAUUGUAAGCUAAUGUUGCUGUGGAUACAUGUGUGAUAUAAAUCUGUGUGUGGGAUGGGUGGGGGUAUUUUAUUCAUGAGCGGUUUUCAGCUUCAGCUCAGUC
rnacentral:lncRNA from 1 species